rnacentral:rRNA from 1 species
GACGAACGCUGGCGGCGUGCCUAAUACAUGCAAGUUGAGCGCUGAAGGUUGGUACUUGUACCAACUGGAUGAGCAGCGAACGGGUGAGUAACGCGUGGGGAAUCUGCCUUUGAGCGGGGGACAACAUUUGGAAACGAAUGCUAAUACCGCAUAAAAACUUUAAACACAAGUUUUAAGUUUGAAAGAGGCAAUUGCAUCACUCAAGGAAGUUCCCGCGUUGUAUUAGCUAGUUGGUGAGGUAAAGGCUCACCAAGGCGAUGAUACAUAGCCGACCUGAGAGGGUGAUCGGCCACAUUGGGACUGAGACACGGCCCAAACUCCUACGGGAGGCAGCAGUAGGGAAUCUUCGGCAAUGGACGAAAGUCUGACCGAGCAACGCCGCGUGAGUGAAGAAGGUUUUCGGAUCGUAAAACUCUGUUGGUAGAGAAGAACGUUGGUGAGAGUGGAAAGCUCAUCAAGUGACGGUAACUACCCAGAAAGGGACGGCUAACUACGUG